rnacentral:tRNA from 1 species
GCCUCAUUAGCUCAGUUGGUAGAGCAUCAGACUUUUAAUCUGAGGGUCGUGGGUUCAAGCCCCACAUGAGGCU